rnacentral:rRNA from 1 species
GAAAUGCGAUAAGUAAUGUGAAUUGCAGAAUUCAGUGAAUCAUCGAGUUUUUGAACGCAUCUUGCGCUCCUUGGCAGUCCGAGGAGCAUGCCUGUUUGAGUGUCGUUAAAUUCUCUCAAAGCCAUUAGAAUUUACGGAUUUUGGAUGGCUCUGGAAUAUGGGAAGUUGCAGGUAGUAGUAAUACUCUGUAUUGGCCCUGCUAUCCUGAAAAGCAUAUGCAGAGCGUUGGAUGGUUGCUCUUAUUGGUGUGAUAAGCGAAUUUGAUCACCAARAAAGAGAGAGAACUACAAAGAAGUCUCUGCUGCAAGGGUUGUCCGUUGGGCAAAAAUGACUACUAGACCUCAAAUCAGGUAGGAUUACCCGCUGAACUUAA